rnacentral:rRNA from 1 species
AAGUUUGAUCCUGGCUCAGAUUGAACGCUGGCGGCAGGCCUAACACAUGCAAGUCGAGCGGUAACAGAAAGUAGCUUGCUACUUUGCUGACGAGCGGCGGACGGGUGAGUAACGCCUGGGAAUAUGCCUUGAUGUGGGGGAUAACUAUUGGAAACGAUAGCUAAUACCGCAUAAUGUCUUCGGACCAAAGAGGGGGAUCUUCGGACCUCUCGCAUCAAGAUUAGCCCAGGUGAGAUUAGCUAGUUGGUGGGGUAAGAGCUCACCAAGGCGACGAUCUCUAGCUGGUCUGAGAGGAUGAUCAGCCACACUGGAACUGAGACACGGUCCAGACUCCUACGGGAGGCAGCAGUGGGGAAUAUUGCACAAUGGGCGAAAGCCUGAUGCUGCCCAUGCCGCGUGUAUGAAGAAGGGCCUUCGGGUUGUAAAGUACUUUCCAGUCGUGAGGACAGGGUGUGCAGUUAAUAGCUGUACAUCUUGACGUUAGCGAACAGAAGAAUGCACCGGGCUUAACUCCGUGCCCAGCAGCCGCGGUAAUACGGAGGGUGCGAGCGUUAAUCGGGAAUUACUGAGCGUAAAGCGCAUGCAGGUGGUUCAUUAAGUCAGAUGUGAAAGCCCGGGGCUCAACCUCGGAACCGCAUUUGAAACUGGUGAACUAGAGUGCUGUAGAGGGGGGUAGAAUUUCAGGUGUAGCGGUGAAAUGCGUAGAGAUCUGAAGGAAUACCAGUGGCGAAGGCGGCCCCCUGGACAGACACUGACACUCAGAUGCGAAAGCGUGGGGAGCAAACAGGAUUAGAUACCCUGGUAGUCCACGCCGUAAACGAUGUCUACUUGGAGGUUGUGGCCUUGAGCCGUGGCUUUCGGAGCUAACGCGUUAAGUAGACCGCCUGGGGAGUACGGUCGCAAGAUUAAAACUCAAAGUGAAUUGACCGGGGGCCCGCACAAGCGGUGGAGCAUGUGGUUUAAUUCGAUGCCAACGCGAAGAACCUUACCUACUCUUGACAUCUACAGAAUUCGCUAGAGAUAGCUUAGUGCCUUCGGGAACUUGUAAGACAGGUGCUGCAUGGCUGUCGUCAGCUCGUGUUGUGAAAUGUUGGGUUAAGUCCCGCAACGAGCGCAACCCUUAUCCUUGUUUGCCAGCACUCAUUAGGGAACUCCAGGGAGACUGCCGGUGAUAAACCGGAGGAAGGUGGGGACGACGUCAGUCAUCAUGCCCCUUACAAGCUGGGCUACACACGUGCUACAUUGGCCUAAACAAUGAGGUGCAAAUAUUGCGUAGACGAGCCGAUCUAUAAACUCGUUCUAAGUUCGGAUUGUAGGCUGCAACUUGCCUACAUGAAGGUGGGAAUCGCUAGUAAUCGCUGGUCAGCUACACAGUGGUGAAUUUGUUCCCGGGCCUUGUACACACCGCCCGUCACACACUGGAAGCUGGUUAUGCCCGAAGUGGAUUAGUUAAACCUUUUGGAGGAGGGUGGUUUAAGGUAGAAUUAGUGACUAGGGUGAAGUUGUUACAAGGAGGAUAGGGACCGUUAUUGAAUUUUUUUCCGACGGGGACCGCCGGGAGCCCCGAAR